AUGCUGGGAAGAUGUGAGGAGGUGGAGACAGGAGACAGAGACUGAAUCGAGUGAGGGGCUUUGGACACGCAUCCUUCUUAAAGAGACUCGCGGCCUUGUGGGCCGGCUUCACGGGCUGCUUCACAGAUGGACUCCAUCAUCUCUUUGAUGUUUGAAACUAUUAAAUUGAAACAUAAUACUUGUCCUCUUUAGAUCCUUUUUUAUGAAACUCGACCGUUGCCUACUCAGAGGACAUCUCCAAAAGGCUAAAACGGCCCAUGUUCUCGGAAAAUCAUUUUAAAGGGCUUGAUUUAUAAGACUAUAUUUUAUAUGCUUCGCAAAAAAGUAAAAAGGCCAAACAUUGGGGAGUUCAUUUUUAAAAUCCUGUUUCUGGAUUUUUUUUUUCCUUUAAAAAUGAAGUAGAGUUCAUUCUAGGCCGCUCUGACAAAAGUGAUAAAGUGAACUCUCUCCACCAAGGCCACAGACAAGCCUGAAGGAGGUCCUGCCUGGAGACCAUACACUCAGGCACUCAGGACUGAGCUUUUCCAGUGAAGGACUUUGAAACUUUAUAGAGACAAAAGGGAAAGAAAUACCCCAAAACCUUCAAGGACAGCAAUUGAGUGGCAUCAAAAAUACAAAGUUAACAUGUAAGGAGGAACCGAUAUUUCACACUCACCCUUUUUGGUUAUAGAGAAUAUUUGUUUAAAAUGUCACUUACUUAAGGGCUCCUUCAGAUUCCUCUUGAAAACCAGUCGUUCUUCCUUCGUUCAAAUGUGGUUUAUUCUAUCAAUAGAAGUACGGAGCAGUGUCUGGAGACACACUGUUCAAAAUGUAUGAGAUAUGUCUUAGGGCUUUAUGGCUCUGAAGAGACAGCAUGACCAUGGCAACUCUAAUAGAAAAACACUUCACUGGGGCUGGCUUACAGUUCGGAGGUUUAGUCCAUUGUUGUCAAGCUGGGAAGCACGUUGGCCUGUAGGCAGACACGGUGCUGCAGAAGGAGCUGACUGUUCUACAUCUUGGUCCACAGGCAGCAGGAAGUGACCUGAGACACACUUCCUCCAACAAGGCCAUGCUUCCUAAUAGUGCCUCUCCCUAUGGACCCACUGGAGGGGAGGUGCAUUUUUAUCCAACCUGCCACAAGAUAGAUUUGGUAAUUUUUGUGAUUUAAAACGACUUUGUGUCUUGAGAUGGGGGUCCCACUUGGUCUUCCCAAAUGAUCUCAUCUAUUCUCUUCUGUUAUCAGUAAAAAUCUUGAUUGGCAGUGAUGGAAUUUGUGGGUCAAGCCUUUUUGGAAGAGAGAAGUUUGUAGGACAAAGAGGAAUAGGCUCAGGAGUGGGAUUUCCACAAGGGGAAAGGGACAGAUAGACACGGAAGAGAAACAGGAAAGGGACAGAUAGACGGAAGAGAAGCAGAAUGUUGUGGAACAACUCAUUGGCUGUCUGAGAAAUACUGGCAGGCCCCAAACUAUGAAUGAAUAGCAAAGGCAGAUGCCUGAUCCUGGGGAUUGUUCUGCUGAAUCGGCCAGGCAGAUUAUAGAUAAUGAAAUGAGAGAGUCGAGGAGGGACUGAGUCUGUCAGUAGUGAAAAACAAGAAUAAGAGUGAAGGCUGUCAGGUGCCUGGAGAAACAGCCGCCAAUCCCCUGCAUCUGUCCAGGUGACUCUAGGGUAGGGGAGGUUGCCCCAGACGCACUGAAGACUGUCUGUCUGUCUGUAAGCUCUCUCUCUCUGGUUCCAGCUAAGUGUUGCAGCAGAACUAGAGGCUCAUUAGUUUCCCAGAUGGAAGGUCUUCAUUUUUUUUUUGUUUGUUUCUAUUGCAUUUUAAACCCAUUGACCACAGUCGAGACCCGUUAAACGGGAGCUGCUCUCAGCAGAAGGUAAGCAGCAUGGAAAUCGUUGCCAUGCUUGUGGAUACACGUCUAAGAAUAGACACUUUCAUUUGCUUAGACCUCUCAUUCUCCCAGCUGAGAGUCCCAGUCGCAUCCAGAAACCAGAAUGCGAAGAAGCAGAUUUUAAUGGAGCUACUUGCCAGUUCCCGGGAGGACAGCUGGACCACAACAUGUUUUUGCCCCAUAAUGGAGUAGUUUUCGUGAGACUUUGCAUUGGAUUCUUCUAAGCUGAUCAUUCCCUAUCUGCAAGAUCCCCGUAACUACCUCUGCAGGGGACUGAGAACGGGAAUCGCCCACUCCUCUCCCAGCCCGGGAAUCGUCGUCCUGCUCCACCACUUAACUGUCCAGACGUCCUUGUCCUCAGUUUUGCUAAGCCCGCGGCUUGCAUGAGGAGCCAAUCAUAAAGCUGCUUGCGAAGAGCCGGGUAGACUUGCGAAGAGCUGGUAGAGACUUGCCAAACUUGACCCGGCUCUUAAAUACUUACAGCCCUUCCUUGGGGGAAAUUGACAGUCGUUACAUGUCCUCACUAGGAGGGUGCAGCUCUUCCAGAGAAGGGUACGGUGACCCUGGCAUGCUGUACUGAAUGAAGAAUGACAGCCAUGACUUACCAAAGCCACAUUCCCAUGAGAAGAAGAGUGCAUUACCUGGAAAUGCCAGGGCUUUCUGGGCUGUUGGAAGUUUUCAGGACCGUCCUCCCAAAGGGAGUAGUGUGGGCGGAAAAGAACCGUGUGCCCUCGGACUACAGAGAAGAGCUACCGCCCAGUCUUUCUGUUCUGCGCUCUGUAAUCACCUCAACUUCGACCUUGCUGAGUCUGUCCCUCACCAGCCGCGCAGCUCCGUGUGCGCAACCUCCAAGAUCCCUUUCAAGUCCGCGAUGCUGUGAUUUUUCUCGUGAUAGCUUUCUCCAAAUGUGCGGAUCCUAUCUGGCUUAUUUGAAUGGAAAAAUGGGGUUUUUGGGUCUCUCGGUCUGUUUUGGUGAUCUUUAAAAGGAGAGCGAAACUGUGUGAUCAGGGAGAGGAAAUCUUCUCUGACGCUAAUGGAAGUCCAACAGUAACUCUCCCGUUGUCCACUGAUGAUAGAGGAAUGCUAUCUACACGUGGGCUAAUUUUGUUCGCUGCUGAACUGGAACAGAUGCAGUAAACCCUGCCUGCCUUAAUGUCCACCUUCAUGUAAGAGGCAGAAUAAGGAGAAGCAGAGGUCUCUGUAGCAAGUAGCACUAUGUCUAUUCAUAUGCUGUUGUUUUAAAGAUUUUCAUAAAAAAUAUAUAGAUAGCUAUGGUGUGGUUUGGGGAGUUACAGUUGAUAGAAGAAAAAAGAAAACAAAAAAAUAAGAACCAAGAUUUGGAAGUUCAAAUCAGGAUUGAGAAGUUUGAUAUGCAUAUUAAUAUUAUUGUUUAAUCAUGUUACCUCAAUUAAAUAUUAAUAUGCAUGUUAAUAAAAUUAAGGCUUCAACAUUAAAGUUAAUAUGAUAAAGUUAGCUUAUUAAGUUUUGGUUUAUUUAAAAUCUUAUUAAAUUAAUAAAUAACGUAUUAAAUAAGUUAUUAUAAUAAAGUUAAGUUAUUAAUAUGCA
rnacentral:sRNA from 1 species